rnacentral:rRNA from 1 species
GAACGCUGGCGGCGUGCCUAAUACAUGCGAGUAGAACGCUGAAGGAGGAGCUUGCUUCUCUGGAUGAGUUGCGAACGGGUGAGUAACGCGUAGGUAACCUGCCUGGUAGCGGGGGAUAACUAUUGGAAACGAUAGCUAAUACCGCAUAAGAGUAGAUGUUGCAUGACAUUUGCUUAAAAGGUGCAAUUGCAUCACUACCAGAUGGACCUGCGUUGUAUUAGCUAGUUGGUGGGGUAACGGCUCACCAAGGCGACGAUACAUAGCCGACCUGAGAGGGUGAUCGGCCACACUGGGACUGAGACACGGCCCAGACUCCUACGGGAGGCAGCAGUAGGGAAUCUUCGGCAAUGGACGGAAGUCUGACCGAGCAACGCCGCGUGAGUGAAGAAGGUUUUCGGAUCGUAAAGCUCUGUUGUAAGAGAAGAACGAGUGUGAGAGUGGAAAGUUCACACUGUGACGGUAUCUUACCAGAAAGGACGGCUAACUACGUG